GGCGUGCCCCGGCACCCGACAUGGGCGUGCCUCGGCACCUGAUGUGGACGUCCGCCAACGUGCCCCAGCACCCGAAUGGCUCAUUAAAUUAGUUAUAGUUUGUUUGAUGGUACCUGCUACUCGGAUAACUGUAGUAAUUCUAGAGCUAAUACGUGCAACAAACCCAAACUUAUGGAAGGGAUGCAUUUAUUAGUUAUAAGGUCGACACAAUCUCUGCUUGUUGCUGCGAUGAUUCAUGAUAACUCGACGGAUCACACGGCCCUCGUGCCGGCGAUGAAUCAUUCAAAUUUUUGCCCUAUCAACUUUUGAUGGUAGGAUAGUGGCCUACCAUGGUGGUGACGGGUGAUGGAGAAUUAGGGUUCGAUUCCAUAGAGGGAGCCUGAGAAACGGCUACCACAUCCAAGGAAGGCAGCAGGCACGCAAAUUACCCAAUCCUAAGAUGGGGAGGUAGUGAUAAUAAAUAACAAUACCGGGCUCUUCGAGUCUGGUAAUUGGAAUGAGUACAAUCUAAAUCCCUUAAUGAGGAUCCAUUGUAGGGCAAGUCUGGUGCCAGCAGUCAUGGUAAUUCCAGCUCCAAUAGCGUAUAUUUAAGUUGUUGCAGUUAAAAAUCUCGUAGUUGGACUUUGGGUUGGGCCGGCCAGUCCGCCUUCCAGUGUGCACCGGUCAUCUCGUCCCUUCUACCGGCGAUGCGCUCCUGGUCUUAACUGGCCGGGUCGUGCCUCCGGUGCUAUUACUUAGAGUGCUCAAAGCAAGCCUACGCUCUGGAUACAUUAGCAUGGGAUUACAUUAUAGGAUUUUGGUCCUAUUACGUUGGCCUUCGGGAUCAGAGUAAUGAUUAACAGGGACAGUCGGGGGCAUUCGUAUUUCAUAGUCAGAGGUGAAAUUCUUGGAUUUAUGAAAGACGAACAACUGCGAAAGCAUUUGCCAAGGAUGUUUUCAUUAAUCAAGAACAAUAGUUGGGGGCUCGAAGAUGAUCAGAUACCGUCCUAGUCUCAACCAUAAACUAUGCCGACUAGGGAUCGACGGAUGUUGCUUAAAGGACUCCGCCGACACCUUAUGAGAAAUCAAAGUCUUUGGGUUUCCCCGACCUGCCCUGGCACCCGACGUGGGCGUCCCUUGGUGUGCCCCGGCACCCGACGUGGGCGUCCCCCAGCAUGCCCCAGCGCCUGAUGUGGGCGUCCCCCAGCCUGCCCCGGCAACCGACGUGGGCGUCCCCCGGCCUGUCCCAGCACCCGACGUGGGCAUCCCCCGGCAUGUCUAGGCGCCCGACGUGGAUGUCCCCUGGCAUGCCAUGGCACCCAAUGUGGGCAUCUCCUGGCCUGUCCCACACCCGACGUGGGCGUGCCCCAGCACCCAACGUGGGCGUCCGCCGAUGUGCCCCGCCACCGACGUGGGCGCCCCCCUAUGUGCCCCGGCACCUGACGUGGGUUCCCCGACACCCGAUGUGAGCAUCCCUCGGCGUGCCUCGGCACUCGACGUGGGUGUCCCCCGGCCUGUCCCAACACCCAACGUGGGCGUCCCCAGCCUGCCCCAGCACCUGACGUGGGCGUCCCUCCAGCGUGCCCCAGCACCCGAAGUGGGCAUCCCCUGGCGUGCCCCGGCACCCGACGUGGGUGUUCCGCAGCCUACCUCGGCACCUGACGUGGGCGUCCCCCAGCGUGCCCCGACACUCGAUGUGGGCGUCCUCCAGCCUUUCCUGCACCCAACGUG
rnacentral:rRNA from 1 species